UCGGGGGACAGAGUGACAGGUGGUGCAUGGUUGUCGUCAGCUCGUGUCGUGAGAUGUUGGGUUAAGUCCCGCAACGAGCGCAACCCUUAAGCUUAGUUGCCAUCAUUAAGUUGGGCACUCUAAGUUGACUGCCGGUGACAAACCGGAGGAAGGUGGGGAUGACGUCAAAUCAUCAUGCCCCUUAUGAUUUGGGCUACACACGUGCUACAAUGGACAAUACAAAGGGUAGCGAAACCGCGAGGUCAAGCAAAUCCCAUAAAGUUGUUCUCAGUUCGGAUUGUAGUCUGCAACUCGACUACAUGAAGCUGGAAUCGCUAGUAAUCGUAGAUCAGCAUGCUACGGUGAAUACGUUCCCGGGUCUUGUACACACCGCCCGUCACACCACGAGAGUUUGUAACACCCGAAGCCGGUGGAGUAACCUUUUGGAGCUAGCCGUCGAAGGUGGGACAAAUGAUUGGGGUGAAGUCGUAACAAGGUAGCCGUAUCGGAAGGUGCGGCUGGAUCACCUCCUUU
rnacentral:rRNA from 1 species